GUUUGGUCGUGGAGUCUUUGAUGCCACUGCCCCAUCGACCGGAAGUCGCUUUCUAGUUGGUACAUAAGCACAGAGUUAGAGUAAGCAAGGCUUGUCGGGUGGCAAGUGGUUUGAAGCACCUUGGUGGCAGUAAAUUCCUCAACCUUCCAGAUGUGUUGCUGUUUUAUGGUGUGGAAGGGACAGGCCCUGAAGAGAUGGCUCAAAUACGAAGAACCUCAUCAUCAGGUUUUGGGGAACCCCCUUUGGGAUGUAUUUAUUCCCCUUAAAUCAGUAAUUCUGCUCUUGAGUUCACAAGAUGUGGCUUUUGUUUCGCUGUUUUGAAACAAGGAAGGUCUCACUCUGUAUUCCUGGAACUCACAUUGCAGACCUGAACUCAAAGGUCAGCCUGCCUCUGUGUCCCCAGUGCAGGAAGUAUGCCCCACCACACCUGGCAUUUUUAUUUAUUUACUUACUUGUUUGUUUGUUUAUUGAGAUGGAAUUAUGUAUCCCAGGCUGGACUGCAACUCACUUUGUAGACCAGACCCUUAAUCCCAAUACUAGUGAGACAGAGGUGGGUGGAUCUAUGUGAGUUCAAGAAGAGGCAUUGAGCUGAGCAGUGAGUGGUGGCACACACCUUUUAUCCCAGCACUCAGGAGGCAGAGGCAGGCGGAUCUCUGAGUUCGAAGUUACCAUGUACAGAGUAAGUUCCAGGACAGCCAGGGCUGUUACACAUAGAAACACUUCUUUAAAAACCAAAAAAGUGGCAUUGCUUUUUUUUUCUUUUGUCUUUUGUUUGUUUUGUUUUUCUGAGACAAGAUUUCUCUGUGUAGUCCUGGCUGUCCUAGAACUUCCUCUGUAGACCAGGGUGGGCCUUGAGCUCACAGAGAUUCUGCCCCUGCCUCUGCAGUGCUGGAAUUCAAGGCAUCAUCACCACCCAGCUAAGAAGUGGCAUUUUAAAAAUAGCUUUAGUGAUGAAACUAGGAAAAAUAAAAUCAACUGCUUGCCAGCAUUGCAGAAGUGGCAUAAGCAUUAGAAGACUCGGAGAGCUCGGUCCAGUGCUUAACUGUGGAUCUCCUCAUCUGCCUCAAUCAGUUGCUGGAUGAAGAUUCUAUGAUAAUUCAGGAGGACCCAUGUAGGGUUUGCCUUGUUACCUAGCUUCUCAAGGGUCAUGGACUACAGGCUUGUUAUCUUUGUUUUACAUCUCAUAUCCACUUAUGAGUGAGUAUAUACCGUGUUUGUCUUUCUGGGUCUGGGUUACCUCACUCAGGAAUUUUUUUUUCUCUCUUCUAGUUCCAUCCAUUUGCCUGCAAAUUUCAUAAUAAUCAUUUUUUUUUUUUACCACUUAGUAGUACUACAUUGUGUAAAUGUACCACAGUUUCUUUAUCCAUUUUUCAGUUGAGGGGCAUCUAGGUUGUUUCCAGGUUCUAGCUAUUACGAAUAUAAGAAAGCAUUUUAAGGGGCUGGUGAGAUGGCACAGCAGAUAAGAACGCUGGCUGCUCUUCCAGAGGUCCUGAGUUCAAUUCUGAGCAACCACAUGAUGGCUCACAACCAUCUGUAAUGAGAUCUGGUGCUCUCUUUUGAUCUGCAGGGAUGCAUGCAGGCAGAACACUGUAUACAUAAUAAAUAAAUCAAAAAAAAAGAAAGAAAAAGAAAAAAGAAAAAAAUUCUAAUCACAGUUCAGCAUCCCUGGUGGAUUCAGGGACUCCAACUCAAGAAAAGGACUUGGUGUCAAAAACCCUUAUCCUUGGAGCCAUCUUGCUCCCUCAUACUUUUUUGAGAUAGGGUCCUCCUAUGUAACUUCAGGCUAGCCUCAGACUCAGUCUUCCCACCUCUGCCUCUCAGUGAUGGCAACACAGAUAAGCUGAUUCUUUUGUUUGUUUUGAGGCAGGUUCAUAUUUAGCCCAGGCUGGCUCUCCUUCUUCACCCUCCUCAGUGCUACAGUUGCUAUUGUAUACCACCAAGUCUGGAUUCUCUUGAACAUUGGUCAAGGAAUUCCUUAGUCAACCAUUAAGUCUUUAAUUUUUAGAAAUCAUCUUUCUCAUGUUGUUCAUAUCCUUUUAGUUGUCCUCUGAAGAAGAGUUAGUACAUAUUACUUAAUCCUCUGACAAAAGUGGAAGGUGCUACAUGUGUUUUCCAAAUGUUGUUUAUGUGUAAACUUCCCAGAAGUUUACACUUCCUUGUGUAGUCAAAACACAUUAUUACUUAUAAGCAGAAAAGAUAGUUAUGAAUAUUAAGCCAAAGUGUGGGUGAUUUAAAAGCACAUUUAUCUUGCAGCAAAGGUUCUCCUUUUUAAUCUGUUCAUGAUUAAAUAGAUGAAUAGGACCUUAUUUUCAUUGACACUCUGUGCUUUUAAUAAUAGGGUCAGUGAAAAUGAGUUACGCUGUAGUCUCUUAGGGAAAACUCUGUUUUUAUGGCCCAUGGAUUUGUGCUCAUGAAAGAGAUGAUUAUCUGGGCUUAAAAGGACAUGCUCACUGCAUUUCUGUGACUUGAAUGGGUAGCUAGAAAGAUUGUUGCUAAAACCUUAUUUUUUCUAAGAGUAUAACUCAGUUUUGUUGUUAUUGCCUACUAUGGUUUUGGUGUGGACUGUCUUCACAGGAUCCUGUGUUUGAAUAUUUGUUCUCGGGCUAGUAGUGUUGUUUUGGGAAGUUGUGGAACCUUUGGGACGUGAUACAGAACUAGCAGAUGGAGGCCAUUAGCAGGAGGGCCUUUGAGGGUUACAGCACAGUCUAUUUCUGGUUUGUUCUCACUUUCUUGAUUGGCUAAGAUGUGAAGAAGUCAGGCUCACAUUUCCAUCACCAUGGUUAGAGCUGCUCUAGCAGCCAUGCCUUCCCUUCAGGCUAUUCUAAACCCUCAAAACUGCCAGUCCAAACUAACCUCUCACCCCCAAAGCUGCCUCUGUCACAGCAUAAAAAAUUGUAACCAUUACCCAAGGUCAGAGAUGGGUCUUAACUUCAGAAGAUCAUCCUUCACGAUUGUGAGUGACUCAUUUCUUUUGCUGCAGAAUCCUCUCUUGGUUUCAAUGGGAACUCCAAAACCAAAAUUGAAACUGGAACCUGGCAACCGAAGAAGUGUUGCUUGGAUAGUCUUUCAUUUUUCUUGAAUGUAUUUAGGUAUUCCUUAGUGACACCCCAUCUUUCAUGUUUAGACUGAGGUAUUUCACAAGUAUGUUGGGGACCAUAUGUGCUGAACAGUAGAGAAGCAAGUGGAAAUGCCGGUAGCCUCCUUGGGUCCUGAUGUGUCUGGUCUCUUUUAGUCCCGUGUCAUACAGCCCUGACUGCAGGGAAGGGAGCAGGUGGAGGCUGGCAUGCAAGACAGAGCUGUGCUCAAACUCCUGUCUUAGGAAAGUGACAGCAUAAACAGUUCACGCUGGAAUAUGGUUUCUUCUGAUGAAGACAAUAUAACAGAGCUGAGAGGAGGAGGUGGGAG
ensembl:lncRNA